UCUUAAGUUAAGCCUAAUUCCUGGCACCUAGGAAGCGGGGGAACCAGUUUGGGUGAAUUGAUCUCGCAACAGAGUGGUCAUAGGGGAACCUUCUACCGAAUCCUUAAGCUAACCUCGCAGGCAAUGGAAGGGGUAUAU
rfam:Paenibacillus polymyxa SC2, complete genome.